rnacentral:rRNA from 14 species
GCGAAUGCUGACAUGAGUAGCGAUAAUGCGGGUGAAAAGCCCGCACGCCGAAAGCCCAAGGUUUCCUUGCGCAACGUUAAUCGGCGCAGGGUGAGUCGGCCCCUAAGGCGAGGCAGAGAUGCGUAGCUGAUGGGAAGCAGGUUAAUAUUCCUGCACCGUCGUAUGAUGCGAUGGGGGGACGGAUCGCGGAAGGUUGUCCAGCUGUUGGAAUAGCUGGUUUCUGGUUCAUAGAAGGCACUUAGGCAAAUCCGGGUGCGUAAUUCAAGGGACU